UCUCAUUGCCUGUUCAUACGGGCCGGAAAUCCGGAAAACCUGAUUCCGGUUCCGGUUUCCGGCCCGGGUCAAAUCCGGAACGAAAACCGGAUUUGAAAAACCGGAUUAAUCCGGUCCGGGUACCGGAUUUUUAAUCCGAGAUCCGGGUUAAAACCCGGUACCCGGUUUAUAAAAGUUAAAAAAAAAGCCCUAAUUCUGAAUCAGAUAGAAAUACCGUGAGCAAAAAUGGAGUGUUGGUAUAUCUGUGCUCUUAUGCAGUAUAGGCUCUUCAUUGCCAUUUUUCUGUAAAAAUGGAGUCAGAAAAUAAAAGUAUGCAUGUAGUCCUUAGUUAUUGAUAUUUAGACCUCAUUAACCUUAAAACGUGUUUCUUAGCUCUGCUGAUAUAUGGGUGUUGGAUGUACUGUAAUUGAGAUGGCUACAGGAAAGCCUCCGUGUAGCCAACAGUAUCAGGAGGUUGCUGCUCUUUUCCAUAUUGGGACAACUAAAUCUCAUCCACCCAUCCCUGAGCGUCUCUCUACUGAGGCGAAGGAUUUUCUAUGCAUGGCACUUGUCAUGGUUCAUUGAAGUUGGGUUUAUUUCUAAUCUUCAUGAAACUUCGCGUGUAUUAAUUUCUUCUCUUAUAUGUUGCAGCAGGAGUACUCCAAGGGUGAUCAAGAUUCAGAUCAUUGCAUAUAGCAUGUAUAUAUGAUAAGCCAAUUUUAAAGAUUCAUAUCAUCACGUCAAAGUCUGUCAUGUUUGUGAUUUUGUAAUUGCAUUGCACAUUUUAGUAUUUUUCUUUUUUCUGUACUUAGCCCCUUGUCACAUUUUAGUAAUUUUGUACUGACCUUUUUAGCUUAUAGAAUUUGCAGGAUCUCUCAGUUAGAUCACUUGGAAGUUGCCACAUGCCGGAAUUAUUUUUAUAAUUCAUAUCAUGUAGUUUUGUAUUUUGCAUUGUAAUGUAAUGUGUAAAUAACAAAAUAAUGUAAUAUAUAGUGGAUUGUAUAUAUUUCAGUUUUUCAUUUUUAUAUA